GUUCUCAAGUUGGGAGUGGGGGUGCAGGUAGAGAACACAGAGGGAGGAAGGUGGGAUAUUGGGGAUGCGGCAGAUUUGGCAUGUUGGAGCAAGUUCCUUCGUCGAAUUCCAGCUUCCUUCAAGCCCUUUAGGUUCCUAUAGGGAAAACUGGACUGCUCCUCGGAGUGCCCGGGGCUCUGUGAGAGCAGAGACAGCUGAGGAGGUAGGGCGCAUCCCCGUGUGGCUGGAGUGGCCAGAGUGCUGUUUAUACCCUUUCCCAGGCAUGGUAUGGCGGUCUGUGCUGGGCGCGGUCUCUGUAGAAUAUUAUGAAUGAGACCCAAACAACCAAUGAGCAAAACCCCUAGAAAAGUGCUUGCAAAAUUCAUUAGGUGAGAUGAAUCGGAUUACCUCCUUGUCACCCUACUGUGUUAAUCAUACACAGGAUUUUUAAAGUUCUCCAUUAGAGAGAUGAUUCACAGAAGAAUGGAAAGUUUUUCCCUUUGGUUAACUGAAAGGUAUAAUUUCUUAAAAGACAUACAUUUUUGAUUGCAGCAGUUUGCAGGCUGGAUGCUGUCAGGCUAAAACCUAAAGAGUUUGGGAAAUGUUAAUAAAAUACAUGCUUUCAUCCCUCCAAAGCGAAUACUGUUAAAACAUAUAUAUUUUUUUAUUUUAAAGCCACAAGCCAGAUCUUGGGAAUGCAGCCUUCAUUUCGUGCGUCUAAAGAGAACAUGGAAAAAAUAUGUUUUAUGGCAAUAAUAAAGUCCUCCAGACUUGUGGUGGUGUCUCUCCUGCUCUCCUUGCUUUUAGCAGGAGACCCUGUGCAGGGCCCAACAGUCAGCACCUUGGACUGGCCCACACUUUGGUUAUAAAGGUUUCAACAGACCCUUGUCUUAUUCUACUGAAAAAAAUAUAUUUUUGGCAAAAGAAUAUCCUUGUUCAUAAAAGAUCCGAGCUGGGUAUUUGGAGGUAAAGGGUCAUGAUGUCUGCAAGGUACAUAAAAGUGAUUCACCAAGAAGAAUGAUGAUGAUAAUAAUAGCAUGCAUGUAUAAAGAAAGAGAGAGGAGAGAGAAAAGAAAAUACAGCAAAAUCUCAAAAAUAGUGAUCUAUGUAAAGGGCAUAUUGGGGCCCACUAUGUAUUUCUUGCAACUUUUGGUUUGGUUUGGUUCCCAAAUAAAAAAUAAAAGAAUAUUUU
rnacentral:lncRNA from 1 species